rnacentral:lncRNA from 1 species
AUCAGAACAUAAGACCCCAGGAGUGAAGAGUACUUCACUCUUAUCUAAAUUUUUUUUUUAUUCUGGCAAUUCUGAGAAGUUCUGGUUCCAGAUAUGUCAUGGGCUUUGAUUUACAUGAACUUGGAUCACUGUUUGGACACUACUUCUUUUUCCUAGGGGAUAGACAUUUUCACUCCUUACUGAGUAUGACAUUGAUUCCUGAAAUAUAUUGAAUCCCCUAUCCACAUAGUAUAUUAUGCAAAGAAAUAAAUUGAAC